AUAUACGACCGUACCGCAAACCGACACUGGUGCGCGAGAUGAGUAUUCUAAGGCGCUUGAGAGAACUCAGGAGAAGGAACUCGGCAAAUUGACACCGUAACUUCGGAAGAAGGUGUGCCCUAUUAGUGUGUAGUGAACAACGAAGCAUGAAUGGGUUGCAAAAAAUCGGUGGCUGCGACUGUUUAUUAAAAACACAGCACUCUGCAAACACGAAAGUGGACGUAUAGGGUGUGACGCCUGCCCGGUGCUGGAAGAUUAAAUGAUGGGGUGCAAGCUCUUGAUUGAAGUCCCAGUAAACGGCGGCCGUAACAAUAACGGUCCUAAGGUAGCGAAAUUCCUUGUCGGGUAAGUUCCGACCUGCACGAAUGGCGUAACGAUGGCCACACUGUCUCCUCCUGAGACUCAGCGAAGUUGAAAUGUUUGUGAUGAUGCAAUCUCCCCGCGGAAAGACGGAAAGACCCCAUGAACCUUUACUGUAGCUUUGUAUUGGACUUUGAACAGAUCUGUGUAGGAUAGGUGGGAGGCUUUGAAGCAGGGUCGCUAGAUCUUGUGGAGCCAACGUUGAAAUACCACCCUGGUGUGUUUGAGGUUCUAACCUAGGUCCAUUAUCUGGAUCGGGGACAGUGCAUGGUAGGCAGUUUGACUGGGGCGGUCUCCUCCCAAAGCGUAACGGAGGAGUUCGAAGGUACGCUAGUUACGGUCGGACAUCGUGACGAUAGUGCAAUGGCAUAAGCGUGCUUAACUGCGAGACUGACAAGUCGAGCAGAUGCGAAAGCAGGACAUAGUGAUCCGGUGGUUCUGUAUGGAAGGGCCAUCGCUCAACGGAUAAAAGGUACUCUGGGGAUAACAGGCUGAUACCGCCCAAGAGUUCAUAUCGACGGCGGUGUUUGGCACCUCGAUGUCGGCUCAUCUCAUCCUGGGGCUGUAGCCGGUCCCAAGGGUAUGGCUGUUCGCCAUUUAAAGAGGUACGUGAGCUGGGUUUAAAACGUCGUGAGACAGUUUGGUCCCUAUCUUCCGUGGGCGCUGCAGAUUUGAGGAAGCCUGCUCCUAGUACGAGAGGACCGGAGUGGACACACCUCUGGUGUAUCGGUUGUCACGCCAGUGGCAUUGCCGAGUAGCUAAGUGUGGAAGAGAUAACCGCUGAAAGCAUCUAAGCGGGAAACUCGUUUCAAGAUGAGAUCUGCCGGGGCCUUGAGCCCCCUAAAGAGUCGUUCAAGACCAGGACGUUGAUAGGUCAGGUGUGGAAGUG
rnacentral:rRNA from 1 species